UACGAACCGUACAAACGUUAUUCGGAAUCACUGGGCUUAAAGGGUGCGUAGGCGGCCACGUAAGUGAGAUGUGAAAUCCCUCGGCUCAACCGAGGAAGUGCAUUUCAUACUGCAUGGCUUGAGGGAGACAGGGGUAAGCGGAACUGAUGGUGGAGCGGUGAAAUGCGUUGAUAUCGUCAGGAACACCGGUGGCGAAAGCGGCUUACUGGGUCUCUUCUGACGCUGAGGUACGAAAGCUAGGGUAGCGAACGGG
rnacentral:rRNA from 1 species